rnacentral:lncRNA from 1 species
GCAGCACAAUUUAUUUUAUUUUAUUUUUCUUCUUCUUUUCUUCCCCAAAGAAGCCAUGCACAUGUGUGGUUGUAAUUUUUUUGCUUUGAUUUGGUUCUCACAUUUGACUGAGUGGAAAAAGAGGAGCAAUAGCAGAGCUGGUGGUUAUCACCAUCUUCAUCUUGUGACUUUUAUGGUGUUUGUCUUCUUGGCGGUUUGUCUUUUGUCCACACAAUAGUAUAUAAAUACCAUCCUCAUUGCCACUUCCACCUAAGUAAAAGUAAUACUUCUGACUCAUAAAAAGCGUUGCCGAUUUAGUAUAAAACUUAUACUAACUUAAUGUAAAAUGCACUUAACGUAAAAUGCAAGAUAGUUUUUAUGGAUCGGAGGAAGUACAUAUUUACAUCCACCAUCUAUUUAUUUAUAAAACUGUUUAAGAGUGAUUCAUACAUGCUCCACAAAAGCAUGCGUGCGUGCGUGCAUAUUACGACCGUGUCAAAUGCUUAAUCAACUUGGGGGUGGAUAGGAUUUGCAAUCGUAGAAACACUUACUAUAUACAGAAAAAGAACACUUGAUAAGAUGCGGACAUGUUUGUAUACACAGAUUUGAUUCUCGCCGUUAAUUUCCUAUGGUUGCAUGUACAUCAAUCGGAUCCGGUACCAACUUGGUUAUUAUCUUUGUGGGCUCUUGUAGCCGCCUCUAAACUAACACUAAACUAUAGGCGUACGUACCAUUUCCCUCGUGAGAAAUUAACAAAGGACUAUGAUAAGGACGACCGGAAACAAAGGCAGCCUCUACUUAGUGCCCUCCGAUGGAUUGAAAGAGAAGAAUUUGCUAUUGUCGUUGCGAUGCUCCAAUCGUCCGGCGCCAUUGGUUUGCUAUCACUGUGUCACCUCAGGACCAAAUGUUGAUCAAAAUCGCAGCAUCUGAAACCAAAUGGCUACCAAAUACUAGUAAUUCAUACAAGGAACCCAUUAACUCGUCAGAUCCAAACAACACCUUGAUACUGCUACUCGAUCCAUAUUAAUUGUCAAAAUAUUACAUGUAUCUAGGCAUAGAUACAUCCAUAUUUGGGCAAAAUUUGAGCCAAUUAAUAUGGAUCAAAGGAGUACUUCAUUUGCUCAUCUUGUCAUCUACCUCUAGUUCAACUCCACCGACCAAUUUGUUCUAAAAAAACUCCACCGACCAAUUUUGUUCUAAAAGAACACCACCGUCCAGUGACACCAAAAAUACCAACCUACCAAUCCGUGACUCCUAAGACACCUUGUCAUCUCCAUCAGUUUAGCACCUAACAGUGGUCAAGACAAAGCAAUAAAAGGCCAGAACAAGGAUAACUACUGCGACUUCUUAAGAUACAAUACAACCAAAACACUGAAAUGCUAACACACUAACUUAUUGAGAAACUAAUGUCAAGAUUUUUUUUUAAUCAAUAGCACAGUCCAGCGGAGACAGUAUUUCUGGUGUUAACUCUUGCCAACUUUCAUAUAGCUUAAACCCCUUACCUCUUCUACACACAAGCAGCUUUAAAAGUUAGUGUAGCUGACUCCCCCCUCUCAAAACAUGCUCCAACGGCAAUCAGCUUUCAAAAAACCUGCACAUGUUUUUCCAAACACAGCACCAACCACAGCAGGUAAGAAGCAACUGGCAAAAAGUAUCUCUUUGCAGAGGUAUAGCUUACUAAACGGACAAACAUACAAAACAGCGAAAACAAGAUACAAGGAAUGUUAAUAUUUGAAGACACGCUGCUUAUCUUGGGAACUAUCAAGGGAACACCCCUGGACUUUUUCCAUAAUUGCCUCACUUACACUGGCUUCUCAACCGGAUCCCUGUUACUCAGCAAAGAAGACAAGGAAGAAAACAAGGAAAGGAAAAGAAGAUAAUGAAUGACAUGGCACAAACAUUAAUUUUAUGUAGACGAAUUGAGCAGCAGACAAGGUAACCACAGUAUAUUCUGCAGCACUCAUCUAUAUUCAUCAAAGUAAAAGAUUGUUAAGACCAUUUUCAACAUAGGGAUCUAUUAAGCCAACUGAACUUUUUACCAUUACUGAUACAGAACACGCAUGAUGAGAAUCAUACGCCCAAAAAAAUACAGUACUUGAAGCAAGUUAACUCAGUAUGUAGAGAAACAUCUUUGGAUCAUUGCACCAGCCAAAGCAUGCCAACUGAAAUGUAACAUAGCCUAGAAUAGAAGGUGUUUAUAGUCUUUUAUAAUGGACUUUACUUGAGAAUGGAUAAGCGCGCACUCCCUUGAAUCUUCAAUCGACACCACAGAAUGAGCUCCUACUCUUCACGGAAUCAAGAGCCUGCAACGACAAAUAUAUGGUUGGUUUUGACCUCACUGUACUAAAUCACCUUACAAGCUCCAGUGUUACAUUUAGAAGUUUGCUCCAAGAAGCAAAUCUUCACCAGUUAAGUUGAUGAGAAAUACAUUUUAUAGAUCAGAAGAACACUCUUGUCGGCACUCAAGUUCUCCAAAGAUCUUCAUAUCCUGCAAAUAAAACUCCUAAAUCAGAAAGGAGAUAACAAACACCAGUUCAGCUAUGCAUCCAUCAAUUGAGUAGAUUCCGCAAUCAGCUAGCUGAAUGACAUGGCAGCUCAGGUAAACAUUGUUAAUAUCACAUAGCAGUUUCUUUGUUGCCCCCUAAAGCAUCAUCUCCUUUAGGUCCGUGUUGUCCAUUAAUGUCAGACAAGUUAGACUCUUCAUUCUUCCUCUUAUCAUCCUCCAAAGCAGCAUCAUGUCUAGACUUCUUAUGACGACCAUUCUCAGUAUUCGGCAUUUCAUCUUCAGAUACUGAUGAACUCCUUUUAUGAGCAACAACAGAAGUGUCCGCAUUCUUAUCUUCCACUGGUUCCUUUGCAGAUCUUUCAUCUUUGCUACCUCUAUUACCUCUAACAGACCUUUUCUUGUCAUCAUGCAUCUCAGAUUUUUUGUCAUCCUUUUUAUCACUGCUACGAUGUUUUCUCUCUUGAGAUCUGGAUCUUGAAUGCCUGCUACGACGAGAAGAGUGAUGGUCACGUGUUGGUGAUGAUUUGCUUCCUUUAUGAUGUCGCGGUGACCUUGAACCAGCACGAGCUGACCUUCUUGAUUUUGAUGAUCUUAAACUUUCUUCUUCCCUGUGCCGCUUUGGUGAGCGAGAAUCAGCUCUUGAUGACUUCUUAUACCUCGGACUUAUACUUUUGCUCCUGUUCCUCCUUGAACUAGAGGAAUAAUGAUCACGAGAACGGUCAGUCUCUCUUCUCCUAGACCGGCUGUACUUGUCGCUGUCAUCCCUAUGUGAUCGUUCGCUGCCAUACUUCGAGUGGUGAGAUCUUGACGGAGACCGCGAUCGGUGCUCCCGGGAGCGUCUAACAGGGGGAGAGUAGGAGUGGUCCCGCCUACUCCGACGGUACUUGAUAGGUGAUCUUGACCGAGAUUUGGAUCUACGAGAAGGGGGUGAUGGUGACCUGUAAAGCAAAUAAACUGGUCAGGGUUCCUUCUGCAGUUAAACCAAAAGAAGUGCUGCUGCUACUUCCUACUUAGAGAUAUCUCUCAUUAUAUUCCAAAAAUUCCACGAAUCAACAGAUCUAUAAACAGAAAUGGUGAAAUAUCCAACAAAUAUCAGAACAGCAUGUCCCAAACUAAAGCUAUCUCUUCAAUUCUAACAAGUGCCAAGUAAAAUGUGGUCCUAAUAUCAUAAUGUAGAAGUAGACCGGAAAAAAAAGGUACAUGGUCUAUCUGUUAACAAAAUAAGGAAAAGGUUGUCACAAAUAUAUGUAACAUCCAAAGAGCCAAACAAUACCUCGACUUCCCUUUGGCAUCAUUUUCUUCCACAUUUUCCCCGCCAAAGCCCUCUGCUUUCAACUUCCUGCUUAUCUCAGCAGCCCUUGCUGCUGCUGCUUCAGUGGCAGAUUUCAUAGUGGCAGCACGUGCAGCUGCCUGUUGAGUUGCUAUUGACUGCUGCAUCAUCAGUGCCUGCUGGAAUUGCAUCUGUUGCAACUGAACGGCUUGCUGCAUCAUCAUAGGCAAAUUACUAUUUGCCAGAUUAGUCUUUGGAGGGAGAGUUUUAGCCAUCUCCACGUUCAAGGGUCGACCACCGACAUCCAUGUUAUUGAGCGCCAAUGCCGCAGUUGCUUCUUCGGGUUUGGAGUACUCUACAUAAGCAGUUUGCUUUGUCUCUGUGAUGGUACAAUCAACAACUUUGCCACAGUACCCAAAUAGCUGCUUAAGAUGUUCCACCGUAAGAAGCAGGCUCAGGUUGCUAAUCUGCACCAUUUUCUUCAGUGCCUCAGCUUUAUCCACCGAACCUACAAGAAUGCAACAUGCACGUGAGCGGCAAGACUAGAAACAGAAAAUCAAUGUUCAAGUGCAUACACCAACUCAGAAAAGCAUGCAUAUAUAUACAACAUCUUCAGUAAAACUUAAGGCAACAGAAUGGUAAGUAAGCAACUUAGGUUAACAAAAUAGAAAGUUCCUAGGUACACUAGCUAAGCAAUGUAAUGUUAAGGUAAGCACCUCUUAUACAGAAAAGCAGUAAAAAACUUGUUAGGUACAUUAUUGAUUUCAACUUGGUCAGGAAGAACACUGCAGCAUCAGUCAAACACCUGGUACUAUACUAGAGCAUACAUGUGCAUGAUGAGAGAAUUUGUUAAAUACUGGGAGAUGCUACCUGUAGACUGUGCGGCGGCUUUGGAAUCAGCUUGCAUCUGCGCAGCAGCGUGUGCCUGAAGUGCCUGGGCAGCCAUGAUGGCCUGAGCAGCUGCCAUGGCUGCGGCAGAGGGUGCCAUGGGAGCAUGGCUGAGCGCACCCACAGAUGAAGUAGCAGCCAUGACAGACAUGAGCAGCUGCUGCGGCGGGUGGCUGAACUUGCAGUCCGUUCCCUUCGUGCACUUCCCAUUGAUGUGUUCCCGGCAAAUCUCCCCCAGCGAGGCGCCAACCCCGGGCAGGACGACUCCACCAGAGGAGCCAGUAGAGGCGCCAGGGAUGAGGCCGAGCAAGCUGGGGAAAGAACCGGGCAUGGAGCCUGCGUAGUUCGGCAUGUUGGGCAUGGUCUGGUUGACCAUAUUGGGGUAGGCUGAUGAGGCGGCCGGGAGCGUGGUGGGGAACGUAGUGGUGGCAGCGGUUGCUGCGCUGAAGAAGACGGGGAAGGGGCUCCCCAUGAUGGGCGAGCCGUCGAGGUCGACAUGGACCAUGUAGUUGCCGCGCUUGGGGACCGCGUAGGUGACGGCGUAGGACCCUUCGCCGUUGUCCUUGACGACGCCAUCGAGGUCGUCGCCGCCGACGCCGGCGGCGGGGGAGAUGCGGACGCGGACGCGCGCGCCGCCGGUGGAGACCCUGCGCCCGUCGCGGUCCUUCCCGACGACGGUGAAGGUGGCCGGGGCGCCAGCAGAGCCACCGGCGAUGCCAGGGCCGGCGGCGGAGGACUUGGAGGAGUCGACGGGGCCGGGAGGGGCGCGGGGGCGGUCGUCGUCGUCGUCGUCGGAGUCGGCGUCGCGGUCGAAGGCUUGCUCAGCGGGGGAGGAAGGCUUGUACUCGAGGUGGUGGUGGUCCAGGUCGCCGUCCUGGGGCUGGUCGGACGCGGAGAGGGCCCUGAAGGUGGCGUCGAAGGCGGCCUUGGCGGCGGCGGCGGUGUCGGCCUCGGACUUGAGCUUGGCCUCCUCCGCCUGGCGGACCCAGAUGGGCUUGGGCGCCGCCAUGGAUCGGGACGGCGGCAGAGAGCUAAGGCUAAGCUAGGGUUUCGUGCUUCGCGGAGAAGAAGGAAGGAAGAGGAGGAGAUGCAGCCGAGCCAAGCCGAGAAAGAUUAGAUUUUACGGACGGAAGGAAUCAAAAAGGAUGACGGCGAAUAAUACCGCCAACGUCUUGGGCCGGCCUACAUGGGCUUUUAUUCCUGCUAUUCCUUCUUCUUUUUCAGAGAGAGAUGAGCUGGGGAUUAAAUCCUUACCUCGAUAUAUUCCCGAAGGAUGUCCGAGAGACAAUACCUUCUGUCAGAGCAAGGAACACCGAGAAAAAUAGAAAAACCAAGUACAUGAUGACACGACAAUGGAAAAAAAACAAAACAAUACAUCAGUUAAGUCGUCUCCGAAAGAUUCGGUAUGCAGCAAAGGUUAUGAUAUAAUCAGAUAACCAGACAAUAAUCACAGAAAGGAACUAUCAAUGGCCACAUAGAUGCCUUGCGACAGCAUAGAAGGCUGGAAGCAAAACACAGAGCCACAACGUUUGAGCCGGCUCCGAACAGCCCCGAAGACCGGCAAGAAAAACAGCUGAGAUUAUCCCCGUUCAAAAGCCGCACUAUCGCCAACUCACGGGUGAGGUGGGUGGCGAGGCAGAGGAGAAGAAUCAAGUUCAUCGAUAAAAAAUGAAGAUCGUCACAGGAAGGAGGUUAUAUCCUGAUGGAGGUGUGGAGAGAAGCGAUGAAGUAACACAAUCGAAUAGAGUGCUGCUAGCCUGCUAAUGAUGUUACCGAGGCAACAACAACACGGCGCACAUGGUUCCCUCGUGCUCCUCGUGGGUUGAUGGCGGCGCGCCAACGACGAAGUGGAAGACUGGCUGGAGGUGGAGGCAAGGCAGGCGGCAAACCUCCACCUAGAUCUUGCCCGGCAGACGCCAGAUCCAGGGAAGAGAGCCUUGGAGUGGGUUGGCUGCGCGCCGACGAUGAAGGGGAGGAGUGGCUGGAGGUGGAGGCAAGACAGGCGGCGAACCUCCGCCCAGAUCUUGCCCGACAGACGCCAGAUCCAAGGAAGAUGGGCUUGGAGUGGGUCAGCAACAGCCACGACGAUGACCGACGAUGGCAAGGGAGACCGUCAGGUCCGGGCCAUGAAGGGCGACUCCGUGCGGAUCUGGGCCCGGAUCUCCGCCACAGAGAGGAUCCGUUGUCCCGCAAUGAUGGGGGGGUGAGGGGCGGAGAAGGCAGGGAGCGAAAGCGGCGAGAAGCCAACCACCGACGGCAGGGAGCAGGGAGGAGGGGAGAGCGGCCGGCGGCGGUAGGGUGGAGUUCGCCGCCUGUGUCGCCUAUUGGGAGCGACGUGGGGUUCAACGUUUUCUGGUUCAAAGGGGUAGUCUGUGGUUUUCCUUAUCUGUUAUUCCUUAUAUUGUUUGUGAGGACCCUUUGUUGAUCUUAAAGAUUUGCUACUAGUGUUCGGUUGAGGUCAUGUAGGGUAAUGGAAUGAAAGUUCCAAUCAUUUGGGAUAAUCUCGUGUUUAGUUUUAAGAAUAAAAAAAACUGAAAUAUAACCAUUUGGUUCAUCAAAAAUGAAUAUUUUUCUAAUAUGUCUAACAAUCUCAUUUGUCCAAAAUAGUAAGAAUGGUUUGGUUUCAAGCGUUCUUGUUUCCUAAAAUAUACCGAGAACGGAACCGUUUCAUUCCUUUUGUAGAAUCACGUACUAAAAAGCACAUGAUUACGGCCCCUGUAAUUCAAACAAGCUCUUAGAAAAGCAAGUUAGCAUUAGUGAAUAGAAUUCUUAAAAGUUACGUAUACAUAUAGUCUUUGAUUUUUUAUUUGGAAUUGUAUAAUCUUUGACUGAACCUAACUAUAUUUGGUUGCACUUAAGAAAAUAAAUAGAAGGCAGCUUAUUUUCAAAACAAAAUCUCCCGUCCCAAAUCACCUCAAGCCGCCGUCAGCCAUGGCGCCGCCGCAGCACGACCCCCGCCGCCCCUACAAGCGAGCCGCGAUCUCCGACCAGCAGCGCCGCCGCGACUUCGCCCUCCAGACCCAAUCCGCCCGACGCGCCGACGCCCAGGCACGCGCGCGCAGCCUCGCCAACUCCCUCCUGUCCCCCUCAUACCCCCCUGUCGACCAAGCGCCAGCCUCCCCCGAGGCCAACCACGAUGACCGCAGCCACGAGCCCGCCGUCAACGAAGUCGCCACGGCCGCAGCCAAGCUCCGCGGCCCCGAGGGGCGGCGCUGGUUCGCCUGCCAAAUCAUGCUCCCGGAGUGGAUGGUCGACGCCCCUCCCCACCUCGCCCGCGACUGGUAAUUCGUCCCCCCUCCUUCAUAUCGAUUUUAUUAGAUUUCGCAUAAAGAUUUCCCUGGAUAUGGAUAUGAAUAGGCAUACCCUUGUUAGCUGUUCAUUCUCAUCAUGGCAGCAAACUUUGUGUCUAUCUUGUAGCUAGUUUACAGUUGAAUGCAUCUUAGCCUACUGUUGCUAAAAAUAGCACUAGUACUGCACUGGCAAGUCAAGUUGCAAAUGAAGAAGGGAUCGACAUGGCUUCAACAUUUUUUUUAAAGGUGACUUCAACACUUUUUUUUAUUCUGCAUGUAGGAAUGUCUGUGCCAGGCCUGCCGGCCAACGCUGCCUGGUCGUGUCGACUAACGGCAUCACAGUUAGCAGGCUCCGUAACGGAACCGUUCUUCACCGGUUCCCUUCCGCCCUGCCCAACGGAUCGAAGAGAGGGAUCUCUGGCCCUGCAAGUUCCUACUCAAUCCUUGAUUGCAUAUUUCAUGAGGUAACCAAGCAAACGGUUUUUUAUUUUGAGGGCACUGGCUGCUUGAUUGAUCCUGUAUUUGCUUGCUUUUAGGUCUGGUUCUAAUGUUUGUGUUUUGUGCCACAGCCUGAUGAAACAUACUAUAUUGUUGAUAUGAUUUGUUGGCGAGGCUAUUCGCUAUAUGAUUGCACUGCUGAGUUCAGAUUUUUCUGGAUUAACUCCAAGCUCACAGAGACUUCUGCUGGUGACCCUCCAUCGACGUACCAUCGGUAUAGAUUCUGUGCCGUCCCUAUGUAUGAGUCCACACUUGAGGGUCUUCAAGCAGCAUAUUCGGGAAGCACACCUUAUGUCAAAGAUGGUUUGCUGUUUUACAACAAGUAACUUCUGUUUCCAGAUCUUUAUUAACAUGUUCUUGAUAGGCAUGCCUCAUGUUUGGUUUGCCCCAUCGUAUUAUAAGAAUUAGCUGAUUUUUUUUCUAUUAUCAGGCAUGCACAUUAUCAAACUGGAAUCACACCCCUCACACUAGUAUGGAAAGAUGAGGCUUGUAGCCAAUACGUUCUUGACACGGACAGCGAGGGACAAGUUCCAACUGAGCAGCACGUAAGUUCCUUUCUCUGUUACGCCUGCUCAUAUCGUAGCUGGUUAGAUUACUUUAAAAAUAUGAAAAUAUUGUUAACUCUUGUGCCUGCUACCAUUUCCCUCUAUCCCUUAAUAAUUUUUACUGGCCUUUCUUUCGUCAUUUAUUAUCAGGUUGUGUUGGAGCUGCAAGAGGAUGGAAAGCUAAUUACUUCUGAUGACCCUCCAAUUAUAUUUGGUACCUUGAAUAGCGAGUUUAUCCAGAAGGUACUAUUUUGAAACGCAGCUUAUGUCCACAAAAUAGGAAUAAUUAUCAUGCUGGAUCCAUAUCUCAGUGUUGUUAUGGUUGAAAUAAACUUUAGUUUUGCAUAUGUGCGUUACCUACCGUUUCUUGAUGGAUUGUGCUCAAAGCAUCAUGUUGAUGAUUUGUUAUGACCAUAGUAACUGGUUCACAUGCAUGCUCGUUUUUAAUGCUGUUGCAGCGUUGUAUUUUGUAGAUGCUUCGUGCUCUUUCUCCUUUGCCUUCACCUGUCUUCUAUUUACCUUAUCUGAAUAUGUUUUAAUCAUAAACAUACUCUUUUAUGAUUGUGCUUUGUGCAGUCAAACCUGCGGCCAGGGAACCUAGUUCGCUUCAGCGUAAGAGAUGAAAGUGUCAAACUUGUGGAUGGAAAGAUGGAGAUUGGUGAACUGCAAUUUGCUGGAAAGCUGAAUCGUUCUCGUACUUUUGCUGACAGCCAUUCCAAAGUAAAUACCUAUGUUCUUAUUUUCAUCCACUGAUUCAAACAAUGCUCAUAUUCAUCACAUGUACCUAUGUUCGUAUUUUCUGUGUUCAGGUUCUGUUCCAGUAUGCUGCAAGGCAUGCUCCUCUGAGAAUUGAGGAUCUAGUAGCCUCUGUUCAAUCAAACAGUAUGGAGCUUGAAUCUACAGAUGUUGAGAUGCAAGAUUGAGGUGAAUGAGCACUAGUUUAUCUAAGUUUUUUCCACAUAGUGAAUUCUUGUGUUGAUUAGCUGCCCUCUUCCGCAAGUUUUCCGUGUUUUUCACUUUUUCAUCCAUGUGUAAAUGGCAGUCAUUCAAGGCUGAGGGUUCUGGUGUUGACUGGAACCAUAUUAGGAUGAAAUAGAUGCAAACAUGACCCAGGUCCGUCUCACUCUCUCAUUUAUGUGCCGUUGAGCUAGACGCUUUUUGUGCAUCCUUUUUCUAGAAUCACUCGAUACAAUACGAUCAUUUUCGGUGGAAUUUCAGUACAAGGAUUUUGAUCCACAUGUUCCUGCUUUUAGGAAACCUGAUGAUAACAAUUAACAAGUCAUGAUUAUACAAGGCCUUGAAAUAACCAAGUCUUGUGCCUUUAACCUGAUCAGUUGUUAACUGCUCUAGCAUACAAGAUAAUAAUAGCUUCAAAAUCAGAUAGUUUCAUCUGUAAAUAACACAUUCUUGUGCGCACUUGACAGGAGUAAGUUGUGGAAUUCAGGUGGAGAUUUGCGCAAAGGACGUGAUGGUCUGAAAGCCGUGAUUUUUAGGGAGCGGCGCGUUUCCAGGCCUGAUAGAUAUUAGCACCUCAAGACCUGUGAAACCAAAAUGUAUGAGUUUGUGAAAGACAAGUCUUGGCAUGUAUGUAUACUACAUUACAUUUCAUGGAUAUCCAUGAUGCAACUCAUUUUGUGAAGUGCUGUUUACCUUGAAUUAGAAACAUUGUUGCUUUUGAAUGAAAUGUCCGUUCUUUUUUUUUCAGUUAAGAAUCUGUGGAUAAUAACAGUUUUUUGGUGUCCAAGUGAUCAUAUGUACCAAAUGUGUGAGAUGACCCUGACAUUCAUGUUGAUGUGAAGACAUAAAUUUGGGUCGAAAAAGAAGCGAGUAUGGGUGACCUGCAUCCUUUGCAGCAGUGGCUUCCUGGUAGACAUCAGUCAAGAACAAUAUCUGAGAUGGACGGUCCACUCCUAAAGACUGCCAGAUCUCAUAGUAACUGCCGGAGUCUCUCUUGCCUCUGCAAAAUCAACCUCAACGGAAGAAGGUAAAUGAGAUGAGAUGAAAAUCAUUGAAAUGAAGUUGAAACAAUGAAGGCAGCAGUUUCAAAUAGAGUUUACCCAACAUUUGUGUCGAAGAAUGCAGAGAGGUAUUUCCUGAGGUCACCAUAGGGUGUGGUGUUCCCAAAGAUAAGCCUCUGCGCCUCCCUGCUGCCACUGGAGUAUAUGUAGGUCUUGAUGAGCCCUCCUGUGGCGCCAUGCCACUCUGCGAGGGCCGGGGGUACAUCGUCGUAGACGACCCCCUUGAUCUCGCCGCUGUCAAAGCCACGCCGCCAUAUGCGGCCCUGCAGCUGCUUCAACGCGGCGACCUUCCUGUCGGCGUCGAUCAUGGCCUCCACAUUGGCCACCAGGGCAUCGAUGAUCUGGUCGACGGCGCUGUCUGGCGGUGGAAGAGGGACGGCAGCGCCGGGUACCUGAUCGGCGAGGAGGAGGUCCUGGUCGACCUGGGCCCGGAGCAGGGCGAUGUCAGCCUGCGUCUGCGGGGUGUGGUAGGUCUCCGUAAGGUGUUCCCGGACGUUUUUGCGAGCGUAAGGGAAGAGCAC